rnacentral:rRNA from 1 species
AAAUUGAAGAGUUUGAUCAUGGCUCAGAUUGAACGCUGGCGGCAGGCCUAACACAUGCAAGUCGGACGGUAGCACAGAGGAGCUUGCUCCUCGGGUGACGAGUGGCGGACGGGUGAGUAAUGUCUGGGGAUCUGCCCGAUAGAGGGGGAUAACCACUGGAAACGGUGGCUAAUACCGCAUAACGUCGCAAGACCAAAGAGGGGGACCUUCGGGCCUCUCACUAUCGGAUGAACCCAGAUGGGAUUAGCUAGUAGGCGGGGUAACGGCCCACCUAGGCGACGAUCCCUAGCUGGUCUGAGAGGAUGACCAGCCACACUGGAACUGAGACACGGUCCAGACUCCUACGGGAGGCAGCAGUGGGGAAUAUUGCACAAUGGGCGCAAGCCUGAUGCAGCCAUGCCGCGUGUAUGAAGAAGGCCUUCGGGUUGUAAAGUACUUUCAGCGGGGAGGAAGGCAGUGAGGUUAAUAACCUUACUGAUUGACGUUACCCGCAGAAGAAGCACCGGCUAACUCCGUGCCAGCAGCCGCGGUAAUACGGAGGGUGCAAGCGUUAAUCGGAAUUACUGGGCGUAAAGCGCACGCAGGCGGUCUGUUAAGUCAGAUGUGAAAUCCCCGGGCUUAACCUGGGAACUGCAUUUGAAAC